AGCGACCAUAUGAGUCGUCCUCUCAGAGGAUGAUUAUGAAAGUCGCCCUUCCAAACAUGGACUUUUAAGGGACUUAAGCAAAAAAAAAAACACCCCCUCCUCCCUACAGCCGUCCACAGGUGCUUCCCUCCUCCCCACUCCCAACCCUCCACAGUCGGUCCCUCCUUCCCACUCCCAGCCCUCCACAGUCCCCCUCCUCCCCGU
rnacentral:lncRNA from 1 species